UAUAAUGUGGGAAAAGUUAACUCAUGAAGCUUUGCUCUAAAAGCUCCCAUACCACAGAGUCAUAGAAAGCACAGACUAAAUCAGAGUAAGGGGCUGGAGUAAGUACUAAUGUAGUGUACUUGGACUGCAAAGUCUGAGUCCUUUCUAUAUGGUGCUCAGAAAGCAAAUGGUUAAUAGGAGAAUGAAUGCACAAAUUUUACCCAACAGCCAGCACCCAAGCCUGUCUCACAUCCCCAGCUCAGUUAUCAUCAGCAUCUUCUGGGCACAGGAGAGGGUAGACAGACUCAUUUAAUGUGGAUUUCUGCAUCCAGCCAACUUGAAUUCAUAUCCCAGCUGGCUCCUUUUGAACUGUGUAGAUCUGAAGUGCUCUCUAGCCCUCAAUGUGCCUCCAAUUCUGAAAAUGGAGGAAGCAGUAGUAGGCAUCGUCUCAUACCUGGGUUGUAAAGUUUGAUAAACAUCUGUUGGUAGUUUUAUCUCUGUGUUGGAUAAUCUAGGAUAAUGUCUAUGUUUUAAGAAAUAUGGUAAUGCCUAUCAAGAAUAUUUUCAAUAUAGAAAUAUGAGAACAUUAUCAAUAAAAUCCUCUUUGGUGAAAGAAUAAUUUUUCAUUGAAUACAACAAAAUUGGUUACAUUAUUAGUAUUGGCAUUAGGUAGUAUGUGCUGCUUCAGAGAAAAACAUGGAAAAUUUUACCUCAGAUGACAGUCUUUAUCUUGAUAACCAAGCAAACUGUCAGAACAGUCUAUUUAAAGGCUCCUGGUAGAAACAGAGCUUGUAAAGAGAUUCCAGAAUCAAAUUGUUCUUUAGAAUAAAUGUGACUGGCUGCUAUUCCUAGAUCCUAUUCUUUCAAUUGCUUAGAAAACUGAGAAGAACCCACCAAUCAGAAUUCCAGGAGAACUAGAAGGUAGAUCCAGUCACCACCCCUUGAUGUAAGUCAUGUUAGCAUGACAUUAAGUCUUCAUGUGAUGUGCCCUAUGCCUGCUGCACAGCAUUCAUCCUCCGGCAUGUCAGAAAGUAUCCAUCCAUGCUCUCAUCCGAUGGAGAAUCCUUCAGAGGAAUCUUGGGGUAGAUAUACAUAUCAUCUGGGCUUUAUGGACCUUGCUGACUUUGAUUUGCAGAAUAAACAUUUGCCAUAAUUUAUGGAGAAAUACUGUGAGAAGUGUGGGUAGAUGAUAGGGUUGGAGUUAACUUACUGUGGAGGGAAGUUAGAGUUAUUUGUCCAGUUGACUGAAAUUAGAAAAUGGGUCUUUGUAGUCACAAAUCUAAUUGUGUCAGGUGUCCUGGAAAUGAGACAACAAAUAAGAAAUCAGAAAGCUUAGUCCAGCACAUAUUUUCUGAACACCUAAUAAGUAUCUGGUAGAAGAAAAUACGGUAAUACAAAAAUGAGUCAUAGUUUUGCUUCUUAGUGACCCACUUUGAGUGUAGACACACAGUAGGAAAAUGGACUAACACAGUUCCUUUUGGGGGGUGCACCUGGAUUGCAUUUCUACUCUUCAUUCUAUGAACUUGACAAGCAACAUCAACUCCUCACACGUCAGUUUCUUGAAUCCCAAAUGGAGAUAACAAUACUUCUUACUUUGCAGAAGGCUACAAGAGCUACACAGAAUAGAUAUACAGGGUGCCUGCCUUAGAUGAGAUGAACACACAGGAUCUGAUCACCAGCAACCCCUUGCCACGGCCACAGAUUCCCACAGUCCAUGCCCUUCACAUACACCUUUUAAAGUUUGGUGUUCAUGUGAGUCCUCCGGGAGGGGCUGAGAGUCGCAGCUUCACUUUGACGCAUGUGUUCUCUUAGCACAGUCACACACGGUAGAGAUUAGGAAGUGGGGACAACAUUGACACUGAGAUGGGCAUGUCUUGAUGGGGUGCUCUGGGGAGCCUGCUGUCUGUGAGGCAUGAGAAUAGCAUUCACUCUGAUUGAGGCGCUAAGAGUGAGUGAAUUAUUUGGAGAAUAAAGUGAGAUAGAAAGACAAAUAUAUGAUCAGUUUAAAAAUGAGCAGAUGUCUUAGAAAAGCAUGAUAUUGGGCUAUAAUAUAAAUAUGAAUAGUUUUGUCACUUUUGGGGGGGGGUUCGAGACAGGGCUUCUCCAUGUAGUUUUGGUGCCUGUCCUGGAUCUCGCUCUGUAGACCAGGCUGGCCUCAAACUCACAGAGACCCACCUGCCUCUGCCUCCUGAGUGCUGGGAUUAAAGGCAUGCACCACCACUGCCACCUGGCUAUUUGUCACUUUUUAUACAUCUGUGGCGAUGCAUGUAAGUUCUGCCAGUCUAUGCCACAGGACAGUGUUUUGCUUGGAUUGGCUUAGACAUGAUAUCUGGUCUCUUGAACAUUUAUUUAUUUAUUUGUUUAUCCUAACUAUCAUCUAUUUAUUUGUUGUGUGUGUGUGCAUGUAUGUAUACAAGCAUGUCAUAGCACACAUGUGAAGGUCAAAGUCAGCUGUCACAGGUGCAUAGAUCUCAAGCUCUUAGACCUUGUGGCAAGUGCUUUUACCCACCAAACCUUCUCACCAGCCUCACAUUCUUUUAUAAAAAAAUAUUUUAUUCAUUCUUUAUAAAUUUCCUAAAGUUACAUAAUGCAUUCUGAUUAUCUGUAUUAGCUGGGAAUGUUCUGAAGCAGGGUGACUCAGCUUAUUUCCAUGAACCAGGAACUCAAAACCCAGUCACAGGAGCCAGACUGUUUUCCCAUCACAAUUUACCAAACUUCAAAUACAUUUUGGACUCAUUUAAGUUUGAGAAAGGAUUGGAGUUGGGGCAGGGUAACAGUUGUGGGCAUUGUGCCUCAAGCUAAGCUGAUAGGCAGACACCUGCGAAUGCUUUUAUUUAGCAAAAGACACUCAGAAAAAGUGGCCUAGAAGAAUCCCAUCAGAAUUAUUUUUUAAGAUAUUAAAAUCCGUAAAUACAAUAAGAGCUAAAUGGAACAUAUAAUUGAACAAUUACACUAUAAUUUCACAUCUGUAGUUUACAUUAAUAGCAUUUUAAAGAUGGAAAGAUUACUAUAGAAGAGUCUUUCAAGAGAAAGCGAGUGUGUGUGUGUAUGUAUGUGUGUGUGCGUGUGUGUGUGUGUGUGUGUGUGUGUGUGUGUGUGUGUGUGUGUUCAAAUACCUUUCUAACUGUAUAAAGUGGGAAGAGGGGAAUACCAAAAUCUUUCAAGAUACAGGUAAGAAAAGAGAAGGAAAGUUAAAUCAAGUAUUUGACUUCCUGUAAAUACCAAAAUGCAAUUGUGAUCCUUGCCUCUUUUAAGUCGUUGUGGGAGCCAUUCUGAUUUCAAGGCCUGGGCUUCCACUGACACGCUUACAGAUGGUCUCCUAAUUCUGACCUGGGUUAGACUAUGCCAUCAGCAAGCACAGAAAACCAGACCCUUUAGGCACAGGCAAGGAGAACAGCACAGUGGGGGUGAUGCUGUGGAGCCCUGUCACACCCCGAGCAGUUGGUGUGAACCUGUGGGCUGGCCCAGGAGCUAGGCUCACCCAGCCUCCAGCUCUUUAUAUUAUUGUCUGUCAGCUUCUUGUGAAUAUCACCUUCCAGGCACUUGCUAGUUUAGGAUCUGUUGAUAUAUGCUUGCCAGUUAAGGGAUCCAAGGGAUGAUACUAUUCUGCAGCAAUGCAAUAAAACCCUGUCUAAGAAAUGUCAGUCACACCAUUCCAUCUACCUGUGUUGGGAAAAUGUAUUUGGGACUGUAGGGAAGUUACAAGCAGUUGUUUUAGGUGGUUGAACUGUGUAAAGAGUGGUCAGAUCCCCACCCAGUAGAAGCCUGUGUGAGUCCCAGGAGGUCGACCAGCUGCAGCAGGGUUUGUCAGGUCACAAGAGCUUCUUCCCUCACUGCUGAACGUAGGAAAAUGCAAGGGAUCCUUUAGGCCCUCGGGAAAAUGCCUUUGAAAUAACCGGCUCUCAUGCUUCGCUCCGGAGUGCUGCAGCGGCAUGAUGGUGUGGUAGAAUCCGUCUGGGGUAGAGAUUAGAGCAAGGCUAGACUUGACCUAAAGAAACGGAAGAUUCUUUCUUUAAGAAUUUUUCUAAGCGGGAAGUCUGUGAGUUCUACAUAGAUACAAAAGCAAAUGAUAAUAUCAAUGACUACUUUAAUUGCAUCUUUAAUCCAUAAGGAUAGUUCAAUGACAUUUUAAAUUAUACUUUUAGAAUUGUAGUCACAUAGGAGAUAACACUUGGUAACUAUUUAAUAAUGCAUAGUGAGAUCAGCUGUGUCCUCUCCUGAGAUCCCAUUUAGGUGGACUGAAUAUAGAAGGGCAGCCCAUGAUUUUGACAGCGUUUAAUCUUCACAAGUCAUUGUUGGGGCUCCCUAAAUAUUAAGCCCCCACUCGGGCCCUUUAAUCAGUGUCUAUUAUCGCUACAGAAUGGCUUAGUUCCACUGGAGUCCCAGCUAGACUGUCUGAUUUUUUUUUUAAACUGAGAAUUGGGUUGUCUUAGAUCAAACUAUUGUAAUACUGGCAGCUGACUAACCAGCUAACUACCAUUGGUAAUUCAUCACUAUUCAUCUAGCUGGGCCUUAUCCUGAGACUAAGUAUAGUUAUGUUAUUGGGGUGGGGGAUAUGGUACAGUGAUAUUAAGGUCCUACAGCUAUUGGUACCUGGCACAGUUGGGAUUUGAACCUUAAUGGAGAAGUGGAGAGUGACAGAGAAUGGAAGUAUGGGGGAAAUCUCUGGCAUUAAAUUAUUUUGCAGUAGAAGCUUUUCAAGCAACAUACUGUAAGCUGUGGGUCGAAUGGAAGCUGGAGGUAUCCACUUUUGUUUAAUAAAGAAAUAUUUGCCCUGAGCAGACAACAACAUUUCAAAGCUUGUCAUUUCGUUCCUAGGAAAGUAUUUGAGGAAAAUGACACGGCUCAGCCCUGUUUGCUGCCCAUUUUGUCGUCUCCUGCUGAGACUUGCCAUUUCCAUAGCCAGUGGGCUGCACUGAAUCAGACAGAAGCAAUAGAUCAUUAACAGGAAUGGAUACUUGGGGCAGCCUGCAGAGAGAAGGCACAGGAAAGUCAUCUGGGGCCACAUCAACCAAACCGCAUCUAAUAGAAUCUCAUGCCACUAGGUUUGGGGGUGAGCCUGAUUUUCAGAGAAGCUUAGGGAGUUUUCAGAACCACAAAAUAAUGCCUCCCCCACCAAAUACACAAAAUUCAUGACUAACAUGAAAAUGGAAGUGAGACUUACAUUCAUUUCUGUAUGCUUUUUCUCGUAGUGAAAACAACUGCUUAAAGCCCAUUUAGUUUUUAAAAUGCGUGUUUUAUCUUCCUCCUUACACCUCCAUUAGCCUGAGGUCUCUUAUACACAUAGCACUAAUCCAGACCAGAAUAUUAUUAUUAUUUAUCAAAUCUGAAUUUCUAGAUUGUUUCCAUGACUUGGAGCCUUGGAUUCUUCCAGAUUAUUGUAAUGGGGAGGUAGUGUUGAAAGGACAGGUUCUGUUACGGAGAGCCUAUUGUUUUACUCUCUCUCUCUCUCUCUCUCUCUCUCUCUCUCUCUCUCUCCUCUCACUCCCUCUCUCUCCCUUCUCUCCUCCUCUCCUCUCUCUCUCCUCUCUCUCUCUCCCCUCUCUCCUCCUCUCCUCUCUCUCUCUCUCCCUCUCUCUCUCUCUCUCUCUCCCCCCUCCCUCCCUCCCUUUAAAUGUAGACCAAUUUAAUCAGAGCAGGACAAGUACACAUUCUUUUUAGGAAUAUUACAUGAGCACCCACAGACUGCUUACUAGAUGAGGCUGAACAGAUGAAGAAUUACGCAAUAUUCAUACACUGUUCUUCCUCCAGUUUAUAAUAAAUUGAUAAGUCCUAAACUGAAGUUGAAGUGCAGAGGUGGAGACAAGACCUAAAAUUCCAAGGACUGAAUUUUAACUGUGUAAAAUUAGGUAAACAGACGACUAUUCUACCACUCCUAUGCCAAAAGACACCUCUGUUCAGCCAUACGUGGCUAUAUCCGUGUGUAUUGCAGAGGGAAGAAUCCAAACAGCUUCAUAUAUGUCUUAGACAUCUUGCUACAUCAUAAGCAUUUUGAAGACAGGAAUCAUUUCUUGAUCAUAUUUGUGUCUUAUUAUACCGUGCUCUUAGUAGGUAUUCGUAUUUGUAGGACGUAUUUGAAUUUGUGUACACACUGUGUGGAACUUCAGAUGGAUCAAUGGUUUUGUCUUGAGUACUGGUGUUAAGACAUCAGAAAUACUGAGUGGUUUCAGAGUGUAUCCUGAUCAGGUAAGGGAGAUACUUGUCUGCUGGGCCCUGGUAGGGUUAGUGUAUUAUGCCCCUGAGUCUCCAUGCGCCAAUGUGAGGUGUCCUUCUCAGUCUGGAGGUCAUUUUUGAAAAGUCAGUCCCAUCACGAUGUCAUUUUCCCUUUAAUUUUCUGAUUACUUACAUUUGGUCUGGUCCUAAUUAUGAAUACCUUUAAUUGCUUUAUCACAGUUAGUGAUUAACUGUGCCCAAGUCAAAGCUCUUUGAAAGACAGAACAGCUCCUUCAGAGGGCUUCACAGGAGCAUACAGAGGGAAAGUAUUAAACAGAGAACUAGAGGUUUUGCAGCUUACAGAAGAAUGUCAGCACAGUUCACAUCUAGUAGACGGUUUCAGCGUUCAGAGAGAGACACAGGACUCCACAGAACCAGAGCGAGCACCCCCACUGCUCAUCUCUUGCACAUUAUGAUUUACUGCAUUAUUUACAUUAAUCAUUCUGCCAAAAGAGACUAUUUGAAAUAAGUACCUUCCAGCUAUUCCCUAAUGUGUAAAAAUUUUAAAAUACACUUUAAGAUCAACACGAUGUUCCUGAAGGGGAGCAUGGGUGGGUUUGCCUCCCUUGUUUUUCACUUAUACGUGUAAAAUAGCAGGGAUUGAAAUUGUUGUGUUUCCUAAAUGGCAAAGUUUCAAAUGCUAGCUCUACAUGAUUUCUUACUAAAUAUCUUGGCAGUCCAGUCCUUGUGCACAGAAUUUGAGAAGCAAGACCUAUUGGGGACGUUGGUUAUGCUCCAUUUUAAAAUGUUUGUAAGGCAUAAAACAAGUAUGGGCCAGAGAAUUUUGUAUUUUAAUUCCCUGGCUACAGACUGGAUAGGUUGUGAGAUGUUGUAUUUGUGAUCAUAUUAUUUUCGUUUAAAGUAAGCACACAGUGUUAUUUUAGUGUCUCUUUGUGGUGGCUUUUGAAGUGAUGUCAUUGUGCUGUCCUUAAUUUAAAUCUCGUCUCCAUUUUGUGUUCUCAGAAAUACCAGUUUUUUGUAUCACAGUGACAUUUUUCACCCAGGAAUCUAAUUGAUAGAGUUCGUAUCAAUCAAACAAAACUCAUUUCCUCACUCUUUCCUCCCCUCAAGGCAUGAGGCCCACACUGGGCCUCUGAGUGGAGAGAUUUCUGUCUGUUGGUGAGGAGUCAGCACGAUCUGGGGAGAGGAGGGUCCUUGCGUUGGGAAAGCUGGUACAGGCAGGCGGGAGGACACGUCAUUGUUAAUUUAUUAUCAAGUUAGCUCUCCUCCCUGGAGGAAGGCUUUGGCAUUUUUAAUCUUUGAUGAUUCACACUUGCCAAGCAUCUUUUUUUUUUUUCUCAUUUUGUUUCUCCCAAUUGGAAGGAAAAAUUCAUCCAGGGACUCGCUUGCAAAGGAGCAAGUGAGGAGAGCAGAAAUAUGGAGGAUGACCUUCCCUUGCCUUUUGGGCGAUAAGUGCUUGUGACAGACGCUAUUUCAAGACUAUAGUGAAAAUGCCCAGAACCAGAGAAACUCAUAUCUAAAUCAUCUGCUCUGAUGUAUCUUCUUUUCAGACUAAUUUCCCAGUUGGAGACCUGAAACAUUUAAAAGCUCAGUUUCCCAUAGCGCUUUCAGACACACUACCCUGUUAGUGUUCGGUGGAUUUCAAAGCAUGUCCCAGUAAUUGAGAGUAGAAGGAAUGAGCUCUGUCUUGAUGGACUUUAGUGCCUGCCACUGGCAAAUCAGGUGAGUUCCCAGAGUGCUGUGGGAUUAGGCGACUAUCUGGUUGACUGUUUUCGAACACACUGGAGUCUUGGUAGAACCAUUGAGCACAGUGGGUGGCAGCAGGCUGAUCCAGCAGAGAAGCAAUCAGGUCUCAGAGAACACUCAGCUGUGGGGCCAGGAAGGAGAAGCUGACACCCAGAUGCCAGCGCUUCGGAGAGCUUAUCUAUGGAGUUGCACAUAUGGGGACUACAUCUGCUCGGGUUGUGCCACCAGUCAACGUUCAAACCAGCACGGUUACCAUGGCGUGAAUAGACACCAACGUGGUUGUGUGUCUGGGUCUUUUCUUGCUAAGACAGCUGUCAAAAGCAGGAUGUUAGCCCCAUGAAAGCGAAUUUUCAGAGGAACAAUCUAGGUACUUCAAGGACUCAAGAUGACUUAUUUCUAAACGUUCACUUUAGGAAAGGGUGUGUGUGUGUGUGUGUGUGUGUGUGUGUGUGUGUGUGUGUGUGUGUGUGUUUGAAGAUUGUGAGUAUAUGCAUAUGCGUACACAUGUGUAAUUGUGCUGUUUUUUUUGAGCAGCAUAAUAGUGUUCCAGGAAAUUUAGAAUCAAAUGGUAAUGGAAACGUAUUUAAAGCUGCACACUGAAAAGUUCUUGAUACACUAUGCUGGCAUAGACAGUUGUCUGCCAGAUUUAAUAUAACAACUCCUCUCUCACGUAUAACACGGGAAGUGACUCCAGUACAUCAACUAGUAUUUACCAUUCGGACAUUAGUUUUCUUAUCUCUUCAUAAUGGCUCCAGGAGCAAGCUGAGUGAUUCCACACAAACCAUACAUGUUUUUUUUUUUUUUAUCUCUUUCUCUCCUAAGAAUCCUUCAAAGGAGACAAGAGUAAGUUUAUAUGUUGGUAUUAUCUUAAGUUAAUAUCUUGAACCACCCUGACCAAUGGACAAACGUAUGUACUGGCGUCCAGUUUAUGUGCCUCUUUCAAUUUCAACUGUGUGUUUGUGCGGUCCUCUAUCUUUAUUAAAAUCACCAAUUCCUGAUAGAUACCAGGCAAGGUGUAGGAGAAAAGAAUGAUUUGUUAUAUUUGUGUUUCUCUGUGGUUGGGAAUCAUUUACCAACAGUUUGGGAGACUUUUGUUAGAAUGCUAUGUUUCUUCUAUUUUUAUAUUAUAUUAACUCAACAUUUAAGUCAUAAAAAUAUCCACUAAGGGCCCACAAGACGUGUCAGCAGGUAAAGUUACUUGCCGCUCAAGCCUGAUGACCUGAGUUUGAGUCACAGAAGCGGUGAAAGGAGAGAACCAACUCCUGCAAGUUGUCUCUGCCCGCCACACUUGUGCCAUGACAAAUGUGUGUCCAUGCUUGCUCACAGACAGCUCGUACACAGUAAUAAUCAAUAUAGCUGUUAAUCUCUGAACAUUGUGAUAGAAGCAUGCACAUUUUAAAGAUACCAUAUAUCAGUGAUUGCCAUUCAUGAGAGGGAAGUGGGCAUCCUUAUAUACAUGCUGUUUUGUAACUACAUAUUACUAUUUCUCUUUUGCAACUAGCAGAGGAAAUUUGCACUCUUAGCAUCAGUGAGCUUUUAAGGUCACCCUAAAUGUGUUUUGACAGUAUUGGGUAUAAGCAAAACCAUAGUAUCCCUAUUGAUCUGAUGUUGGGUGUCAGGAUUGAUAGAAUUUGACACCUUAACCUUAGUGUUAAGACAUUAAUAGGACAAACAGGAAAUCUGGACUUCCAACCCCAUGGCUCAAAUCCAGAACAUGGACUUUGGCUUCAUGAUGCUGACUUUGGCAUGAUCCAAAAUGUCUACACAUUUGGACUAAGAGCUUGCACUAUUCAAUAUCAGAACAAUAAUGACAAAUUGAAACUACUUAGGGUUAAAGGACCAGAAAUAUUCAUCUAGCCCCUAAGGCUGCUGGCUAAGCUUUUACACAAACAAUCUGGGUACUUGAUGCUGUUUAUUUGGGGUAAUACUGGGCCUUAGUGAAAAACAUAGAUUCUCUCCCAUCCUCAACCCCCAAGUCCCCUCAUGUUGCCAACAUUCAGAAACCUUCAGCUAGCCUGUCUUCCUCAGGUCUGACCUCCACAUUCCAGUUAACAGUCUGUGGUAUGACUGUACUUGUCUUAAGUCCCACUGAGAGAACGGGAGAAGGAAGCUGUGGAAGAGGAGGCAAUGCCAGGUUGUCUCCACCUCCUUCCAGUUCUCAGAGUGAACAAUCAAGGUGGUGUCCGGUCCCCUAGCCAAGGUCCUCUGGUAAAGUGAUGGUUUGUUCAUUACUUCCUGAAUUGAACACUAACCUAUCAAAUACGUAUUUAUGUACUUGUUUACCUAGCCUGGCACACUGAAAUUAGAUGUGAAAAAUGUAAAUAACUACUUUUUAUUCUUAUAGUUGGGGAUGGGGGUGUCAGGCAAAGAAGAAUAACAUAGAAAUAAGCAAUUGUGGCCAAAUUUGUCGGAAGUAUAUUAUGGCUGUGUAGACUCAAGGACUGAAGAAAGCCAGUAAGGAAAAGGAUAGAAAAGUGCCUUGUAGGGUCAGAGCAGGUACCAUAGGUGGUAUGACCUUCCAGGGGUCUAUGUGGAUGAGGCUGUUUUAAUAGGUAGAGAAGGUUGGAAAGAUACUUCAGGCAGGGAGGUUGGCAUGGUCUGAUGCUCAGGAGUUUGAAAAGACAUAGGAAGUUGUCCUGUGUGGCCACAACAUGGGGGCUAUAGAAAAUUUGGCACUAACAGCCUGUUCAUUUAGACUCAGACAGCAGUUAUUCCAUGUACCACUACAGAGAUAGGCUUAAGGGAUAGGAAUGAGCAACACCUCCCCUGCAUCAAAGAAACCCAUCUUCGCAUAGACACGGACAUUCCCAUCGUGUUUCAGCAGAGUGAAUAGGAGAGGGGCCAGCGAGUCUAGAGAGAAUAACAGGUUAAAACCAGUCCCAAGGGGCUUCAGAGAGGGCUCAGAGGUUAAGAGCACUGACUGCUCUUCCGGAGAUCCUGAGUUCAAUUCCCAGCAACCACAUGGUGGCUCACAACCAUCUGUAAUGAUAUUUGGUGCCCUCUUCUGGCUGCAGUCAUACAUGCUGAAUACAUAAUAAAUAAAUCUUAAAAAACAAAAAAACAAAAAACAGUCCUAAGUCUGGGGUUUAGACUUCACUUCUGAGGGACCAGAAAGCUACCUGUGGCUGAUGUUGUGUUUGGAGUUAGGACUGGGAUCUCCAUGGCAGGGUAACAGGGAAGGGAUAACAGAGAAAGAGCCCAGUAGAGUUUGGGACAGCUGUGAGGAGAGAGGGUGAAGCUGUCACUCGGGAGGAAAUCGAGAGACUGCAAUGAAGAGGGGCUGAACGUGUUUCAGAAGAAAAUUCUAUUCUUCUUCUUUACGGAUUGGGACAUUGAGUCUUCAGAAAAGCAAAGAUCUCAUCCUAAUACUUAAAAGAUAGCAAGUUUUAGAGCUGAUAUGAGGAUCUGGGGCUGUGAAUGGGGUUCCCUGUUCUGCCAUUGGCCUGUUUUAUAGAUUGGAUAUGGGAAUUAAAUAAUACAAUCCACAGAAACUCCUCUGCACUGUGCCUGCCCAAGCAUCUGAACUCGAGACCUCAGGCCUUUAUAACUGUUUCCAUCACCGCCAUCAUUGCAGCCCAUUUGUCCUGUGCGUCUUCGCAGACCAGAGACUUGCCCCAUAGUGUCCUGAGCCUCACAAACCGAAUGACAGGCAGAGUUGUUGCAGAAGGCACUGUGGAUACUAUAAAAAGACAGACAUGUUCCUUUUAGACACAUAAGAAGCUAAGUCAUGACAGUGCUCUAAAGCCAGCAAGCAGUCGUCAUUAAAUCAUUCAUGAUGUGCAGGUGUUGGUCAUUUGGAACAGUUAAGGCAAACAUCUUCUAUCAUGACUACCUUGUUUAAGGAAUUCUACAUGGAUAUUUCCUCUAAGGUGUUUUUAGUAGUUGACAAUGUCGUUUAUCUUAGGAACCCUUUCAAGUCAGCUUUACUGUGGGGAAACAAGAAAUUGCCCUGAAAAUACAAGUGGGAUAAUGCAUGCUGGCCUUCCUAAUCACACCCACAACAUGUGUGUCAUUAGGAGUAAAGACAACAUCUUACGUUCCAUGGCAAGUUUAAGUCAAAGGACCAAAUACCUCCACCCUUUGUAUCAACAAAGUCUUGUACAAAAUGGAGCUCCAGAAGUCCUUCCUCCCUCAAGGGCUUGGUGAAUCUAGAAGGGGGUGUGGCUCAUGGUUGAAAUCACCAUCUUAAUCUUGUGGAGGAGCUAAUCUUAGGAGAGCAUUAACGUGAAUGAAGUACAGAGCUCAUCUUGAUUACUCAAAAAACCAGAGCUCAUAUUUGUUUUUCAUUUAAUUUUGCAGCUAAAAUAUGAUGAGAUGUCUCACAGAAACUGUAACCAUCUUCCAAGUUGUUUUGUAAAUGAAACACAAAUAGUUUUCCAGUUAAAGCUCGUUAUUUCCUUUCUUCACGUGUGUUCAUACUAAGUGCUGGUAAAAUUCCAUUAUGUUUUGACUUUAACAUUAAAUAUUACCUUGAAUAUACACUUCCCAACAGCCACGUUCUGAUGUGACAUAUUGUACUGUUUGAAGGGUGUCAUAUGGUCAUCUGUCAGCCGAAUGUUGUUCCACGAAAAGAAUUUUAUUCUUCACAUGUCAUCUAGAAUGCUUCAUGUUUAAAAAAAAAUAAAAAGGAGGAAACAGAGCCGUUUUCACAGAAUCUGAAUAUAGAGAAAUUAGAUGCCGGCAGGUUUGAACUGUGGUAGCAAGAGACGAUUGUCUGCUAAGAAUAUUAUAGUCACUAUGUAAUAUAGGUGAGACUUGCUAUAUUUCUGAAUAUUUUCAAUUUGAUCUGAUUGUGUUUCAUAGCAGAAAAGAGAAUGUUUCCUUUCAGGACUUUUAUACUAAUAUCUCCUGGUCUUUUUUUUAAUGUGGACAUGGAAACGGGGUCCUGUUAGUUAUGAGAUAGAACAACAUUUACUCCCUGUCUCAGUCUGUAGUGGAGGUUGACUUAAGGUAUCAGGAAAAGAGGGAGAGAGCAAAGAAUAAUUGAGCAGUCAAUGUUUCUAUCAGUAGCAUUUCUUUCAUCAGGAAUUAACAUGCUGGCCCUUAUCCAAAGACACCUCAUUCUCCUGUUACAUUCUAGAUCUGGUCCAGACUGUGGCUGCUCUGUAGAGCCGGAUGAGGGAGGGUCUGGUCAGUUUGUAGGUGCCGUGCACAGAGCAUGUGGACAUGGAUGGAUGGUCUCCCUCUCCCCAUGUCUUCCUUCCUGUUAAUCUUUGCUUGGAACAUGCCUGACAGAUUUUGUUUUAAUGCCGGUAUGUUGCCAUAUCGAAUAUGUGGGGAAAGUCUGCCCUUGCUUAUAUGUUACAUUACAAUUUUAGAAUCUAAACCUCAUGCUGUGUUAAGAAAGGAAGGGUGACCCUGUCUAAUUUUUUUUUUUUUUUGUCACUGUAUUUGAUUCAUGAACUCUCUGGAAAUUAAAGUAAUUUAUUCCCUUUUGCAAAUUAAUUAAAAGCUUUGGUUUUGUUCUCUCUUAAAAAACCAUCAAGUCACUCUGUGUCUUUUCCUUUCUUUUACAAAUGUGUGCUUUGGAAUAUUUGUAGAUUUCAUCCUUCAGCUCUCCUGGCCGUUUCUACCAUGUAUCCCUGUGAACUACUCAAUGUCCAUUGAGCUAACAUUAAAGGCAGUUCUCCAGAACAGAGGUCUGAAAAAGACCAAAGAAGGCAUCAAAGUUUAAGAGACUAGAGUAGGCAUUUAGGCAGAGGAAAAGCUGAAGUUCAAGUUCUUUGGUCCAUUUCCUUUCUUUACUUUCUUUUUUGUUUGUUUGUUUUGUUUUGUUUCGUUUUUGUUUGUUUUGUUUUUCAAGACAGGGUUUCUCUGUGUUGCCCUGCCUGUCCUAGAACUCCUUCUGUAGACCAGGCUGACCUUGAACCUGGAGAUCUAUGUGCCUCUGCCUGUGCCACCAUAGCCUGUUUUUGGGGGCCAAUUUCUUAAUUCAUAACCAGCAUUAUUCAUAGUAUUUUAUUCAUAUUCAGUCUGACUCGAAGGCUUUUCCCAUUUUUGAUUAAGAAGGGUGAAAAUAAAAAGGGGGGAGAAAGUGAUAUAUUUUUCAGGAUUGAGAAGACAUUGUGUUGAAGUUUUUAUGGUCAGAAAUAGAAAAAGCGCGCAGUGAGGCUGGUGGUAAUGACCUUGUAGUCAAUCCUGUGAGCUGCCUUCUUGUCUCUUCCGGAAUUUCAAAGAAAUGUUCACUCCUUGGUAUAUUGAUGGUGCCAGAAGGUGUUUGAUCAGAUUCCCAGAUAUUCUAUUCUAAGUGUGUCAGAAUGUAGGAAGAAUGCAUUGCAUUUCAAAUAUGAGCAUGAGUGCAUUGAUGAAGAUGACCCCGGCAUCCUGUCAAAACAUUUCCCCCAGAACCAAAAUCAACCAUGGAAAGGUGUCCAUAGCCAGGUUUGCGCACUUUGGUUGACAUUUCAGUCUAAUGAAAGCAAUUUGAAAUAGCUAAAGUUCAUUUAAAUCUAUGUACUGUAGAAGUUAGUUUGACUAAUAGAGGCAUUACAUCAAUAAUUUGAAGACAUAUUUUAUUUUAUUCUUAUGAAAGACAGAAUUAUUAAUAGCUUAUUUUUCUGUUUGUAAAAUACACAGUAAUAAGAUUAUUCUAUACAUUCAUUAAAUAAAUUUCAACCAGUAGGAAAAGAAAGGAAUUAAUAUUUAUUGAGCAUUUACAAGAUGUUAUAUAGCUAACUCCUUUAUAUUCACAACCUCCCAAUAAACUAGCUAUUAGCAUUCCCAUUUUAUAGAUAAGAAGAAAAAGGUCAAGGUCACUUAGCUGGCAAAUAACAGAGAUAGGAUCUGCUUCCAGGUCUUUCUGAUGACAGUGGCUGCACUUUCAAAACUUAACACAUAAAUUUCAAUAUAAUUAAAAUGAUGCAAUAAUAGUAUCAGGGAAAACAAAAGCACCGGAGCGCUGAGUUGAACUACAAGUGUGUCUGAGCUGAUCUCGUGGCUCCGUAUCUAGUGUCUUCGUAGGUGGGCCAUGGCGACAGGGCUCAGGGGGUGUCAGUGCUCGCCACGCGAGCUGACAACCUGAAUUUCAGCUCAGGAACCCACAGAGGAAGGAGAGAACAGAAUCUUGUGGCUGUCUUCUGACCUCCACCAUUGUGUCAUAGCAUGCACACACACACACACACACACACACACACACACACACACACACACACACAGACCAUGCAUAAUUUUUUAAUUAAAAUGUUACCAUUUUUGAAAACUAGUAGGACAUUCCAUUUUGCUAUAUUUUGCAUACAUCCUUGUUUCCCAAAGAAGCUUAGAAAGUCCCAGAAGCUACCAUAGGAAGCUGUGGGUUGGUAUGCUGUUCGUUUGUGCGUGGACCAGGACAAAUACAUACCCAAAUUUUACUGUUCAAAGAAUCCUAUUCAUCUCAGUUCUCAUUCUCUGCUGAUUAAAUUUCGACUCCUUUAGCUCAGAGUUUUUCCUUCCUCUCCUAUCCCACAUCUUCUCAAUUCAUAAAAUGUGAACUGAAACCCAGAGGUUCAAAAUACACAGUGAUCCUCUCAUGACCAUUGUCAGGAGUUUGAUUUAUUGAGUGACUAUAGGAAAUAAUAUUUUCUGGGGAAAAUCUCUAAAUCAACCCCUUUGAGUCAUCUUUUAUAAUGCCGAUGAGAAAGUUCUCCUUCUCUAAAACAUUUUUCAUAAUAACUCAAAGUGAAUGCACCUACCUUCUAAAUUCUUUUAUACUAAAUGACAUGAAAACAUUUUGUAUAUACUGGGGGAAAUGAGGAAUAAGAGAGUAAGGGCUAAUUAGCUGAUUGUUUAUGACACAUGCCCAUAUCAAGAUAUUUCAUCUAAUCUGAGAUAUUAAUUGAGAACUUCCUUAACCCAUCAAAAUGAUAUCUGUUGAGGUCAAUUUUACGCUGAUGGCUUAAGGGGUGGGGGUGGGGGUGGUCACUGUGAAGCAAACUGGAUAAAGAGGAAAGGAUAUGCCACUAAAAUGGAUGCCACUGAUUAGCAUCCUAUGGAUGGCAUGCAUUAACCAGAGAAGAGCCAUUUCCACAACCCUGCAGUCUCCAUGCAUGUCUCCUUGGAACGUUUGCUCCAUCUCUGAGGUCAGCUGCUUCCAGGUUUUCUGUUUUAGCUAACUGAUCCCAGUUACCUGUAUUUUCGAUCUGUGCUUUUCUCUUACUAUUCCCAAAGAUGGGAGGGAGAGAGAAAACUUUAUUUACUCAUGUAACAAACUGAAAUAGAGUUAAUUUUCAGGGCUUCAGCUGAAUUAUUAGAGAUUACUAUGUUAUAAAUGGUGAAAGAAGGGCCCCUCGCCUGUGUGGUAAUGCUGUCAGGGACCCCGCGGCUGUUGGCUCAGUUCAUGAUGUAUUAUACUGCUAGCAUUUCAGUGUUCUCUGGGGAGCUCUGGUCCCACCAUAAGGUCAAGAGUUAACUACUUGUAUUUUAGCUGUGUACUGCUAUCAAUACUGCCUCUAUGGAAACCUCACUUGACGUCAUCUUUGAAUCUCUGUGACUGUAGUCAAGCUUUAGUAAAAGUCAAUAAGAACAUUAGAUUGUUGUCCAUAUUACGACUUGCUACUUCCUGCCAGCAAUCUACCAAUUCAUUAGCAGAGAGUUUUGGAACUCUGGCUUGAUUAUUUAUGCAGUCAAUAGCAAGGCUUGUCUGCAUUCAUAAUUGUUUGAUUUUAUGGCCUCUCCUUUAAACAAACAUUGUCUAUGGUAAUGUGAUGCCCUGAUGGAUGGGAAAGGUUUUGUCUGUGAAUAUCAUUUAGAUAAUUAAAAAUGACAGAUGAAAUCGCCCGCUGUCUUGACCUGUACUUUGUUCCCUCAGUGAUGCUGAAGAGAUGCUGAUUGCUGUCAAUCAAAACCCAUUGGAGGUUUGUAAAUUCUGGCUGCUGUGAACUCUGACCCCCACUGUUGAUCUGAAAUAGAUAAUAACCUUGAAAUUCUAUUAGAAUUUAAAAACAGUUUUACUAAAGGGGCACACUAUAUAUUUCUUUUCCUCUAGAACAUUCUUUACAAUAUUGAAAAAUUAAAGUAAAAAUGCAGUGUUUAGCAAAGCUUAACAUAGCAAAUCAGAGCAAACAUCUUACUAUGUAAUUCCAGAUUUCUGAUUAGGACACUUGUCCUUGGACUUGGCACAUUUAGUAAAACUUAAGGUUUUGCUCAUGUCUUGCAUUGUGCUUAGAAUUUCUUUUUGAUAUUUUUUAGGAUUUCUAUUGUUGAAAUAUUUUCAUAACUUUCAUGUAUUAUGAUCUUCAUAUUGUAGUGUUUUUUCAUAUUUAUCCUAUGCAUUUUCAAACUGUUUUUUACCCAUCCACCAGCCCCUCAAAAAACCAAACCAAUAACUAGAAUUUUGAAUUUACUGGGAAUCCAAAGGCCAUUGUUUAUGUCUAUCUAAAGUUCUCAGCAAACAUCAUCAAAAUCUUAGGUCAAGAGAUCAGAUUGAUAAAUGCAUUUGCCUUGCAAAUCAUUUUUCAACAUUACCCAGAUGCUUAAAAUAUAUUCAGACGCACCAUUGCUGCUUGAAAUAUGCAUGCAGGUAAGCAGUGAUGGAGCUGAGAAAGGAGGGACCACAUUCAUCAAUAUCAUAAUCCUUAUACUCCCCAACAGCAAAAAAAAAAAAAAAAAAAAAAAAAAAAAUCCUAAGCAAAUUCUACAGGCUAGAAAUUAUAACAAUUAGGUGUUGACAAUUUUCAGUACACUGGUUGUAGCAGAAGUCUGUAACAGCAGGGGCUAUGCAGCAAGAAUUGUAAAUAGCAAAGAUCUCUUGAAAGGUAAUUGAAGUAGCAUUGGUUUUUCUACUAGAGAAACUUCUGCAGCGAGUUUAAUGAAUUUUUGAAGAGUCAUGUGAAGAGUUAUUAGCAUUGUUUUGCAUUUUGUAAUCAGCAGAUACUUUAAGAUAAUAUUAGUUCUGUCAGUGCCUCAGUCACAAUGGAAAAUAAACAUUGUCAUUUAUAUUUGGCGGUUGAUGGAGGUAUCAGCAGCAUAACUCUCACUUCGUGUCUGAAGGUGUUUAUCCUGAAUGAGGCAUUCACCAUAUAAAAAUGAUGCUCUUUCAUACUUAAUAUUUUUUAUUUUUGUUUUUUUAAAUCUCGGCAAAUAGUUGUAAGAUUACUACUUCAGAGAGAUCUAUUGCUACUUGAUAUGAAGAAAUUAAUAUAAUAAAUGUUAUACACACACACACACACACACACACACACACACACACACACACACACACGCCUGUAACAUUAAAAGCAAAGACACUCCAUGCCAGGAGGUAACUUUCUCUGAGAUUCUGUUCAAAUAUAAACAUGGAUAUAGUAAUAUAUAAAACUAUUCAUGUAUCUAUCAUUAGAACCUUAGUUCAACUUCACCUUUUCGGUAACUCUUUCCUUGUUUUUUUAAGUUCCCUGGGAUGCCUGAUCUGAUAUUUUGGCAUUAACUACUACCUUACUAGUACAUUCAUGAAUUCAUUCCCUGAGUCAUUCAAUUUGAUAUUCAUUAAUUCAUGAUUUCUAGAGACCAUUUAGAUAGCAGAAGCUUUGCAUGGCACUUGCUCCUCCUGUGUUUUCAUCCUUCCUCCCAACUACAUUAUAAGCAAAUGUUCUUCAAGAACCAGCAGCUUCCUCAUAGACCAGGUGCUACCGCCCUGGCUCUGGCUGUCCAUGACUAUCUCAAGUGGCUUUGCCUCCCUGGACCAUGGCCCCAUUCCUGGGAAGCAUCUAAUUGGCUAUGCCUUGGGUUUCUUCCACUCCAGUGUUUUGGGAACUAGUCAGAACUGGAUAGCAAAGACCUGAAAGUUGCUAAAAGGCAGAGCUGGUGGAUUGCUUCUACCAUGGAUUAGACCAUGCAGCUUAUCUAUGAAGAAGAAUGAAUAUCCACUCAUUUGAGUCACAGCCAUUAGAACCACUGCUGAAUAAACACAAAUUCAUUUCUCUUUUGGUUUGGCUCUUCGCCCUCACCCCUCCACACAUGUACCUCCUGCCUUUGAUGUAGCACCCCUUGACUUCACAGUGAGUAUACUGUCUGUGCUUCCUUCUACUCUGAGGCUAAAAGUGGAUGAUCUCGGUGCAAGGGAAACAUCUUAUUUUGACCUUUUGAACUGCAAAAUCUCUAUUGGCUCCUAGACUCAUCAAAUCCUAUAUUGGAUAACUAUUGUUGGUUUCAAGAUUCAUCUCAUUUCUGCCUAUAUUCAAGCCAAUUUCAUCAGAGGUUAUCACUUACCUACUGAAAAACUCUCUGUUUCUGAACAUUCUUUUUCCCUCUGUUCCCUGUGACAUCAUAUUCACAAAUCAUGCAUAUCUUCUAAAGACUACAAUUUCUUGAUGGAGAAAUUUUGUACACAUUUUAUUCAAUUUCUUUUGGGACUCCUUAUUAUGCUUAAGGCACAGAUGAAAGAUUUCAAUUGAGUAUAUUACCAUAAAUUCAGUAUAGACUGAACAUGUAUGUGUAUUAAUAUAGCCAUGAAAUGCUUUGAGUCUGAUAUGGCAUGUACAACUGUUUUAUUUAUGAGACUUUAAGACAGAACAAUAUAUCCUCUUGUUAGUUAUUCCAUGGGUGGCCUUGUUUAUAUGCUUAAAACUUCCCCUUGGUUAUAUGAUGUGGACACACAUAUUCAAUGAACUAAAACAGAUUUUUCACAGUAUGAGCGCAGUUUCUGUCAAAUCCACAGAGAAUAAUGAGGUUGGCAUUGAACUAAGAAUGCUUCCUCUUGCCUUUUCAAAGAGUAAUAAUGAUACCUAAGAGCCAAACCUGGCCAAAUGUUUGCCAGUUACAGAUCCCAAACUCAGUGUUUAUGGAUUUCUUGGGGGAGAUUGCUUGAAAUUGCAACUGUGCAGAAAAGCUGGGUUUCCACAAUGUGCUCAGUGUUUACUCUGAGUACUGCAGCACUCCAUGUCUUCAAAAGGGCAUUUUCUCACUUCCUGUGUGUAGAGAGUUUUGUUUUCAUCAUGGAGAAACUGAGAUUCAAAGGAUCCAUGGAACUUGUUCCAAGUCUCACAGUUCAAAGGCCACAGAGUUGAAAUUCUGACUUUAUUUUCCUAAAUAAAAUUUGACCAAACCCAGGAUUUUUAGUGUUACCUCCUACUACUUCUAGGUUGCCUUGGCAUGGCUGUGUUUUAUUUGAAAUAUGUUUUACUUACCAUGUACAUUGGGUUAAUAAUAUCACAAUCUGCUAAUAAUAGCGGUUUCACCAUGGAAGACAAAUUUUGUUCACAUCUUAGAGUCUAUUUCAGUUGCCUUCCUCCUUACCCCUUUCCAAAAUGUAGGAGACACAUAUUGUCAUGUACAUUUGGGGGAUGAGAAAAUGGAAGCAACUCAUCCAAUCUUAGGAAGUGUUGGAGGCAGCAUUCCAGUCCCGCCAAGCCUCCGUUUAAAGCUCGGGCUUUUGACCAGGGUACUUGGAAGCAGCCACGCACAGAGAGCAGAUCAGGCCAUCUGCUGCCAGCUCUGAGCAUCCACUUCUACACAGACAUGCAGGUCGGAUGCUUAUUUCACUGAAUUCAGUCUAUCUGGGGGGUAAUUUGUGUUUGGCUUCAUCCUACCAAGUUCAGCCAAAUUGAUUUAUAUGAAGCCUCCAAUUAUCUUCUCGGCACACCAAUGCCAAAAAAAAAAAAAAAAAAAAAAAAUGUUGGGGAAAAUGUUCUUUUCUCGGGGAAUGAAGAUUAAGAAAAAUCAACCUACAGUGGCAACCAUGCCUCUGAGAGCAGGCUUUCUCCUACCUGAUUAUCCAGUUCUUUUGAAGGUGGCAGUUCACACUGCUCAAAUGAAAGCCUAAUUUUGGAAGAUUAGUAAUCUUAAAGAAAGUUAAAUGAAGCAAUCAACAGGCCACUCUUCGCAAAGCCUCAGUCAAAAAUCUCACUGUCCAAUUCUCCUCUGCUAUUGGGAGAUAACUACUGAUGCUUUGGUCCUAAAAAGUAAAUGCUUUUUGGAUCCUCUGUAUAUUUAAUUAUCUAUGACUGAACUUUUUGUUAUUUUCUUUAAAAACAAAAUGUAUAGAUAGCCCUUCAGUAAUACAGUCUGAGUGUUGAUUACUUCCUCAGCUUCCCACGAUAGCGAGCUUGCUCUUAGUAGUGUGCCCUUACAGUUAACACAGAUUUCUUAGAAUACUUUGUGAGAUGGGUACACAAGGUAGAUGAGGAUGUUUAUUUUGCCAGUCUCCGUCCAGUGUUCUGUUAGUCUCUGGGUGUACUCUAGACUUUAUUAAGUACAGGUAUUUUUAAGAUGUGUGUGUGGCAGGUCUACAAGUGAAAACCUGUGAGGCAUUGAAAGUCUGUUGUCCAUGCAUCGGACACAUCUGUUCUCUGAGAAGGAAUAGAUCUUUAAUUUCUUUGGUAAAGUGUUCACUGUUUAUCUUCAAGAGUUGAAAUGGUUUUAGAUUGCUCAGAUUUAUUUAAAACACAUAAGUUCUACACUUGAGCACAAAGUGAUUUUUUUUUGUUCUGAGGGGCUCCUGAGGUUAUAUUUUACAACAAUAUGAAAAUUAAUUGUGACAAUAAAGGCCAUGAUUACAAGUCUUCCAUGCUGUCCCACUGUGACAAUUAGCUCCCAGUUGUUAGACCAUUUAUUUACCAGAACAUUAAGUGUCAGUACUGUCUUGAGUUGUACUGGGAAUGAACUAUGAUUGAGACUGGUUGUGAACCCAAAGGACACACCAUCAUGUUCUUUAUCAGUUGAGGAUAACAGUACACUUGAAGAUAGCCCUGUUGGGUCACCUCUGAGAGACUUUAGGAGCAUUGAUGUCUAACAGGUAACUCUCCUCCAAGCUCUGUCCUAGACCCUUGGUUUCCAGAAUGAUGAACUUUAAAAAUAAGUUUAUUGUUCAGGGAGAGUGUGACAUUGCCAGCAGCCUGAUCAAAGUGGUCCUUCUUUCUUUCUUUCUUUCUUUCUUUUUUUUUCUGGAGAGCAUGGAGUGCUUGCCUUUUGCAAAAGAACAAGGUGAGGCAGGCACCCUGAAAGGAUGCAGGCUGUUUCCUAAAAGGCAACAAGGAGAAUGAGGAAAAGCUUCCAUUAAACUUUCAAAGACACGUGUUUCAAACAGACUUGUUCAGCACUUACAGCCUCUGAAAGCACCGGAGCUCUGGAGAAGUCUCUUCCCCACACGUGGACUAGCACCUCAAAGCCAGGAGGAAGCAGACAGACCCCAGCAAGGAAAGAGCAGCUCCCUGAGUCUUUUGUAAAAUACUGUCCUGAACCCUUGAUCAUUGAGUUCAAAGUUGGGGAUUUUAUUAUUUAUCCUACAGUAAUGAGUGAGUUCUUUUUCUUGGAAUGUGAUUAUGUUUAUUGAUAUUGAUUCUUAAUUUACUGUCUUUAUAUAAAGACGAUUUCUUAGUAUUUGAUCUAAAUUUAUAUCAAAGUCCAUGUCAGGUGCUCUGAUGCCACACAUUUAACCCUGGGCUCCACUGCUAGUUGCCUGGGUGAUUCUGAGCAAAUUGCUUCAAAUCUCUGUAGCCCAGUUUCUUCAGCUAAAAAGUCAGAAGCAGACUGAUUCUUACAAUCUCAAAGGAAAACACACAGGAUGCAAAGUCAGUGCUGUAUAUCCUGGCCAGUGUUUAAGUUUUCCCCCAAAUCAGGGCUUUUGCUAAAGAAAAUUUGGACUGUUGAAUAAAAACAUAUUUAGUAUUUCUGGUAAGUCUUUUGCUUAUAAUUUCAUCCAUCUUUUAAAAUUAUAAGAAGUUUUUUUUAUAGCUUUAAAGAUAGUUUUCAGGAAUAUCCUAUUAAAGAAUAUGAGCCAGACAUAAAAUGACAAAUAGCACAUACUCUCAUUUAUUUAUAGAAGCUAAAAAUUAUUUCAUACAACUAUAGUAGAAUAAUACCCGCCAAAGGCUUAGAAGGAUGGAUAGAAGAGGGCUCACAUGUUACAGAGGGCAGUUGAAAAUUAAUUGUGUGCUUCCAAAUACCUGGUCAAAAGGAUUUUGAAGGUUCUCAGCACAAAUAAGUGAUCAACGUUAAAAAUGAAGGAUGCCAUUCACCAUGAUCUGAUGAUCAUUGCACAUUAUAUACGUGGAUUAAAAAGCCACACUGUGCCUUAUAAACAUGUAUGAUUAUUGUGUGUCAAUGGAAAUUUAAUGUAAAAAAUAAGUCAUUGUAGAAGAAAUGCUUAUAAAUAUUAUCAUACAUGCUUGUAAUUAAAAGGAACUAGAAAAAUACCCAAUUACAAGUACUUAAAAACUCCAGAAAUAACAUUCAAAUUCUUAGCAAAGAAAAGAGCCUGAGGGAUCAAAUAGAAAGUGUCUAUGUACAAGUGUGGAAAACCUGCUCACACCGUAGCCCCAUGUCAUGUUGUGACUUGUUAAAGCCAAUGGGAGAAAGAGUAUAAGACAUUCUGCCGCUCUCUGUGCCUAUUUGAAAUCUAAAUUCUCACAGCAUUCAGUGAAGGAUAAGACUGGUGAUUGGGUAGAAAAUCAGAGGUAUAGUCUUGCUGUGAAAUUGUUCUGCCAGAUAAAUUAAUGGAUCUAAUUAACAAAAGUACAAAUGGCUCUAGGAGGGACACAGACCAGAAUGCAGAUAAACACCAUAGCCGGAGGCUCACUUAGUUCACCUAGAGGGCGGCUCGCACUCCACAAGCCUUCCACCUGCGCUGCACCAGCCACAUACAGGGAUUCCCAUCCAUUUAGCAACAUUUGAGUUAGAUGGGAUGACUGCUGGUGUGUGUGUGUGUGUGUGUGUGUGUGUGUGUGUGUGUGUGUGUGUGUGUGUGUGUAUGUGUAUCUGUCUAGUGUAUCUAUGUGUGUCUGUGUGUAUGUAUGUGUAUGUGUGUGUGUGUGUCUAUGUGUGUGUGUGUGUCUGUCUGUCUGUCUGUGAUGAUCUAACUGGCUACAUGAAGUAUUUCUGCCUGUCUAGGAUGUCAGUCCUAUCAAAGCUGACCUAUGAUUGAAGACUGUGUUCUGACCUUUGUCUUGUGGUACUCUUCUAUUCACUUAAAAAGAGAUUCCCAAGUAGCCUUGUUAGACAUUAUAUACACGAGAUAUUUCAGGGUGCAGUUAUCACAGGUCUUUUGUGGUUCGCUUGGGAGUUAGCAGGCUGAGGCCGUUUUCAAAAUGUUAGAAAAUUGCCUUUCAGAAAUCAUUUUUCCCUUCAGAGCCCUAUGAAAGCAGGUCUAUGUUACAACAUAGGUACCCCUUACAGUAUUGGUUAAUUUAAUUGAGGAAGUGGGCAAGUCUAAAAAUUGAAUUCCCAUCUUCAAGCAUUGAUGGUCAAAGGUCACCAAUCAUAGAACAGGAUGAGAAAUUGUCGUGCGUAUAUUUCGAUCCGAAUAGAUUGACAGUCCACUCCUAGAUUUCAGAAACUCCAAAUAGCAUUCCCAGGAAUGCUUCCUUUAUGUGUGUGAAAACUGGACCUGGUGUUAGUAAAUAAGGAAGUGUUAAAUUGGGGCAUGCUUUCUUCCUGGGAGUGCCGUGGGGAGCUGUUCUGGGAGCAGUGUCAUUAUGCUGUCAGUGUGGGCCCCGUGCCCCACUGGAACAAUGAGAGGUUCCUUUCCUCUCUGUAAAGGGAAUAUAUAUAAAAGGAAGGGGUGCAGUAGUAAAAGGAGGGGCUGUUUCAAAGCAAUGAGAAAGUUGGAAGUACCAGGGGUACUCAGUGGAUUUAUGGAGUUAGUAUUUUGCUGUUACAUGUCUCAGUGUAGUAACAAUAUCACACAGAGAUCCGGGCUACAGUUUCUAAAAGCGCUAGUCAGGGCAUGGAAGUACCCGCAGCUAGGUACCUAGCACCUGUCCAAGGCCUUCAUUGCUGGAGGCACCAAGAUCCCGGGGUGGAAGACCUUUUUCCCCUAUCUGCAACAGAAGCUCCCAGAGUGGCACUCAAGUAAAAAUGGACUGGUUUGAGUAAAAGUCAUAUGCUGCUUUCUUUUUUUUUUUAAGUUGUAAGGACAAGACUAGCCAUUUCUUAUGGCUUUGGAAAGACCACAGAUAUGACCAAGGUAUAUCCAUGCAAACAGAGAGCCAUCUGGAAAAGCUGUAGCCAGUCUUAGAUCACUAGUCACCUUGCAUUCCAUUGCCUGGUAGAUGUUGUGGUCAGUCAUGGAGGGUUUUUUGUGUGACUCUCAAUAAUGCUGUCUGCCUCUGCUUUCCUGAUGCUUAAAAGUAUCUUCAAGACCAACAUAUGCUCAUUUUUUAAUGGUGUACUGUGUGUAACAAGCUCUUCAUAAACAUUAUUUUUUUAAUUAAUCUGGAAGAUCACAUUUAAAUUUUCAAGGGUCAAUAUUUUACAUCUAACAUCAGACUUAGAUUUGAAAUGCUGUGGCCAUUGAGGAAUAUAGUGAGAAGCACUCUUUGUGUCUCUAGCUCUCCUUUGGGGAGGGGGCCUCUCCAGCUGAGGGAUAUGAGAGCUCACCUAAGACCCUAACACCCUCUAGGCUGGUGCUGGAGUCAGCAAGCAGGCCACUGAGCUCUGCAGUGGGGCCCGGGACACCUCCUAGCAGUCACAGUUUUGUUCAUUCUCUCAGCCUUCAUCCCAGUGAGUGAACAUGCUUAAGAAUCUGUCAAAUGGCUCUUCCAUGCCUCUCCCAUGCCCGAGUGACCGCUCUCAUCCUGUUAUUCUUACACUCACUCAGGCAUUCUCUCAAUGGCUGUCUAUCUUGUGCCUCUGAGUGACAACAUGCUGACUGCGUAGGUCUCAGGAACUGGUUCUGAGCCCCUCAAGCCUGCCAUUGUGAACAUGCAUCAGGUUUUGACAAGGUGGUUCUGAGACGUUCAUGUCUGUUCAGUGGCUGGUCAAGUUUCAGCAAAUAGCAAGGAAAGAAUCCCUACCUAUACAUCUGUAGAAAAGAGCUGGGGAUAGUGGCCCCCACGCCACCCUAGGAGAGCACAUCCAUAGUAUAUGCUGAGAGUUUGUCCCUGCCAGGGCUUAAUCAUUGCUAUAUCAAAGAAGAACCCCAGAAGAGAUCUGUGAAUAAGUGAGAGUCACCAGGUAAGACCCCCCCCCCAGUCUCCGUUCACCUGUCAGUCAUGCCUCUCCCCGACAAUUCAGCACUUACCUUAAUGAAAAGUUGCCAAAGCCACCAAGGUUUGAAACAUUAAAGAGAAAUAAAUGCAUUCGAAUAUGGAAAGCCGGUUUGCUCACCGAAAAACUGUGGGAUUUCUUUUCAUUUCAAAUUAGUGUAAAGGCAGUUCUGCGAGUACAAUGGAGAGCUUAUUUGUUUGUUUUUAUAAAUAGGCAUUUUAAAAAGAAAAGCAUAAGUGAUGUGGCCCUCACUGUCUGAGGCUUAGCAGGAGGCUUGUGAUAUUUUUGUUGUUGUUGUUAUAACUUAGGCCUAAGAAAGCUGCAGUGGUACAAUACAUUACCGAUACAACGGCCUGAUAGAUUUAUAAAAUGUUCAGUGAGUGUUUUCCACUUAGAGCAGCAGGAACACCUGCCUCUAUUAUUCCAUCACUGAUAAAAUGGUAAAUAGCUGAUGUAAGUCCUGCAGCUUACAGAAAGCUGCACAGCUGACAUCAUUUGGAUGGAAUUAUAUGGGGUUUGCAUUCAAUUUCUUCAUUAAAUGACUUGCUAAAAUUAUGGGGUCAUAAAUGGACACGGGCACCCUUUUCAUCUCUGUGCAUUUUAUCAUCUCCGCCCACUUCCUCCUUCUCUCAAUUGUGCCUCACCUCCCCCAGUUGAUGGGAGACAGACCUUCAGGGAGAAACUGUUAUUGUCGUCCAUGGGUGAUGAUGGUGGGCAUCCAGAUAGCCACACUAAUGGCAUUUCCUUCCUUCCUUCUUUCUUUCUUUCUUUCUUUCUUUCUUUCUUUCUUUCUUUCUUUCUUUCUUUCUUUCUUUCUUUCUUUCAACCCAAGCAGUUCAGUUUCUCUCAAAGUCUAUAAGACCUAUAGCUUAACCUCUGGCAGCCCCAUCUCUUCCCACUCACCAAUUUAAUUAAGCAGUAACCACCAAUAUUUAUGAAGAAAAAAAAUGCAACCGUACUCAAAUGACAUAAAGAUACUGCUAUAAAGCAGCAGUUAUCAUGUUGCACAAUGUCCCUUUCCUGACCCAGAAAGAGGAGGCUCAGGGACCAAGGUGGAUAGUAAGAUGUGCUGUCUCGCCUCACCAAGGACAUACUCCUAGCCUGGCCGAAAGAGCUGGUGGUGGCUGCUUCCCGGUGACAAUAUCACGUGGUUCUUCAUUGUCUCCGCGCUGGAGGACAGCACUGUCCAGGCUUGCUUAAACACUCCAGGUGGCAAGAUCUCUACUUUUUUCCAGAGGAUGAGAAGGGAAACCGUGUUGAGGCAUUGUCCUCCGCUUUCUUGGCUCAUGCAAGGGCUCUGGUAUCACAGUGAAACACAGGACACUGAACAGAGUUGGAUUCGAUUAAGAGGUGUCAUACACACCCAGGGAGAAAUUACCUAUUCAUUUAGUUUUUUUUUUUCUUUUCUCAUUAACUCUUAUAAUUAAUGUCUGUUUCACUAUCUCUAAUAUUACUCAUCUGUUCUUAUCAUCUACUAUUAAUUUAACUCAUAGUAAAUAUUUACCUGCUCGUAGAAAUGGAGCUUUAAAAAAAACUAAUGAUCUGAAUCUGAAUUUUACUCCUUUAGCUGUCAGAGUCUUGAAUAUUAAUUAAAGGCAUUUAGGCUAGAUAUUAUAGGGCCAGAAAACAGAGCUUAUCUUGUGAUCAAGAGUCAUGGGCAAGCCAUGUGGCACAUGAUAGCUUUGGAAGAUACAGGGGGACAAACAUAUUCAAUCCUAGUUUGUAGGCAAUGAGAGCCUUCAGACUGAAGACUCUGAUAUCUAGAGUGAGCUGUUAACUCAUAUGCUUAAGUUCAAUAAAGAAUGACCAGCCAUAUAAAUAGAAUUAGACCAGGAGAUAGGACCUAAAGCCAGUAGACUGAGGCAGGGGACCCUACCAAGGCUUGUAUGUAUAGAUCCACUUGAUCCAUCUCUCAAAGUCUGUCUUUCUCCCAAAUAUGGGGAGGAGACCCCUCCUUCACAACAAAGGUCUUCGUCUCUCAAUGACAGCUGUUUACAGAGACAGUCAAAGGAAGACAACACUGUUGUCAUAGGCUUCCUGACUGGCUUUGGGGAAAAGUGGUUGUGGGUUUUUUGACCCAGUUUGGAAAGAAGGGAUUCUAGUUUUUAUAGGUGCAUCUAGAAAGGAAACAGGGAAAGAAGAAGAAGGUCAGAGAAACACUUGGCUUCUGAGACUGUCUCUGAGGCCUUUACUCUGGGAUGUCAUUAGAAGUGCCUGAGAAGAUGCGUGCUGGGCACUUGACACUGGCGUGGGAGUUUAUGGGGAAUGAUAGAUCCUAUCUUCUGAAAUGAGGGUUGUAUCUAGUUUACUAUGUGUCAACUGACAAAUGAGACUUAGACUAUAUUCUGUGGUCCUAGUACCCAGUCCUCCCUGGGAGAUUGGUGAUGUAGAUGAGGGCCUCUUCCUGGCCCAGUCAUCUUGUCUGUCUGGGUGACUCUGUUCUCUGUGUCUGUGUCGUAAUCCCUGUAUCUUUCCUUAAGCUUUGCUUACCAAGCACAGAGAAUUCGUAUUCUUUCAUUUUGUAUCAGCUCAAGUCCUUGGUCUUGAUGCAUUGGUUUGCACAGUGAGCCUGGCUUCUGGUGUGCUCUGCCUAGUGUUGGCUGUCUGCUUCACCUUGGCUGGGAAUGGCUGGGAAUGGCUGCAUGUUUCUGCGGCCCACUGUCUCAGUAACCUGGGUGAUCUGGACUCAUGUUCUGUCUGUCUGCUGCUGCAUCCCUUCCGCACCCUCAGCCUGCCUUCCCUAGCCCUCUGCAGCUUCAUGGCAUUGGGGAGGUAUUUUGAAUUCUUUUAGACAGGAAAUGGUCUUCUGAACAGAAUAGGAGCUGAAAUGGAACUCUCCACGGGACUGAACCUUCUCACCUCAGAAGUAAUGCACAAAUGGAUGAACUGCAGCAGGGGGGUGUCCUUUCCCACAAGACUCCUGAUUCACAACUCCCUUUUAAGUCAAAUUCCUGAAACCUGAGUGAGUAUCAGGAGUUCACUGUCUGGGUCUUUUCAGAUCUACAGUUAAUUCUCCCUGAAGGAGUUGGGUCAUUUCCAAUCAGUUUGCCUUGGAUUAAGCAAAGCAUGGCAAUAAAACAUUCUAGGCAGAUUGUUGUCAUCAUUGGCCAAAUGGUCACAGUGUCCCUGAUUCAACCUUGUCCUAAUCCGUGCUCGCUGUCCCUCAUGCCACGCACAUGGGAAAGCUCUGCCCUUUCCCAUCCAUUCUUCCUGGGAAACAGCCAAACAUCCUUUCAUAAUCAAUGUCUGUGUAUCCAGAGACCCCUGGCCACCAGCCAAACACUUAUUGGUCAUUGAACACCUUGCAUGAGGUAAUUUUCAAUUAUCUUAUUAAACUGGGUUGGGGAUCUGGUCCUGUUUCCUUUGAUUAUAAAUGUAACUCGUGUUCUUACUGCCGAUAAUAGCAGUGCUUGUGGGUGCCAGUUUUCUGGGCUCUCUCUCAUAGGAAAUGCCAUCCUCUGCCCUUUGUGAAGGGAGGCACAAGGAACAAAGAGCUGAGAAUGAGUAGUAAGUCUAAUUUGGAGGAGCAGGACCAGGGACCAAGGAUGGCAUGUGACUGAAUGUGGUGUUUAUUUCUGAUAGCAUGGUAUCAGAAUAAUCUGAUAAAAUGUGUAGACUUCUGUGAUGGACUCAGCAGGAGAAAAGUAGAACGUGUGGAAUAUCUUGAGGGAAAAGAGCAAUUAUUUUGCUGAUACACGGCUUUAGAUCGGACACAGUUGCUUAAAGCGGUGUCAGAACAGGAAAUUAAGGAAGCUUCUACAUUUUCUUGCUGGUGAAAGUCACUCUAAUGCUGCCUGUGUUUUAGUUAAAUAUUUGAUUUGAUUCCAAGUCAUUUAAAGAGUAGGGUUCAUGGUAUCAUUUACAGGUGGAACUUCAAAAAUAGAAGCAUGGAACUCCAAGGUUUGUGGCUUCAUGCGGUGACGUGGGCUGCAGUAUCUGGCAGAGGUGGGCACCGUAAUCGAGAUAGCACUGCUUCCAAUGCCCAUGCUUACAGAAUUGUUUUCCUCUUCCAGUGGCAUCGUUAAUGCAACAGCACCCAAAAUCAAAAGGGAGAAAUAUGAUAACAAUUUUUAAAAUACAUACACAGGAGAGAGGGGGAUUCUGGGGUUUGUUUCAUUUUAACUUGGAAAUUUAAUGGUCAUUGCUAUAUUUUUUUAUCAUUUGAAAAUAAAAUGACAAAUUGCUAGUUUUUUCUCUAUGACUUCUUAGUUUUGAGCCAAUCACUAGUUUAAUAAAAAUUAAAAAAAGAUACAUGAUGUAAUUAAAUAUUUCCUUUGUGUAUGUCUUUUGAAUGUGGGAAAGUGGGGUUUAUUCAAUUCCCAGACUUAAUUUGCGAGUGGGAAGUAUAUAGCGAAAGUUCACGGUGAGUACAUAAUAAAAGUUCACUUUCAUUAACUAUGAUUCUAGAAUAUUCUGACUUUGGGGCCUUUAUGCUUCAUCCCAACUAAAUACUGACCAAAGGGCUAAGAAACUCAACAUUUAUAGCCUAUCAGAAUCUGGAAUUUCAUUUUUUUCUCAGUAUUUUUUUUCCCUGCCCACUUAACACAAAUUAGAAUUACCUGGGAAGAAAAACCUCAAUCUAGAAAAUGUUUCCAUCCAGAUGGCCUGUGGGCAAGCCUGUGGGGCGUUUUCUUGAUUAAUGAUUGAUGUGGGCAGGUCCAGCCCAUGGGGGGCAGUGCCAAUCCUGAGCAGGUGGUCCUGGGGUAGAUGAGAAAGCAGACGGAGCAAACCGUGAGGGGCAAGCCAGAAAACAGUGAUCCUCUGUGGCCUCUACUUCAGCGGUCUGCCUGGAGGUCCUGCCUAGACUUCCUCAGUGAUGGAGCAUCACCUGAGAGUUAUAAGAUGAAAUAAGCCCUUACUUGCCCAAGUUGCCUUUGGCCAUUGUGUUUUAGCACAGCAAUAUAAACCCUAAGACAUCAUUGUUCCUUCUUUUCUGUGAAUUGUUUCCCCAGAUCUAGCAGAACAAGAUACUAAAAGGUAACAAAGGUAACAGAGAGAGAGAGAGAGAGAGAGAGAGAGAGAGAGAGAGAGAGAGAGAGAGAGAAGAGAGAAGAGAAGAGAAUAUCACUGCUAAAACAUUAGAUAUAUUUGAUGUUUUUCGAGAACCAGAUGUGUUAACUGAAUCAUCAAAUUGUAAUUGAUUGGGUUAUUUUAUUGCCCUCUUUGUAACUCCAACAUUGGCAGCUCCAGGUUGAGCUGGUAUUUUUUCAAAAUUGCUGCAUAAAUAAAAUCAAUUUAUAAAUAUUUAUAAACUUAUUUCAUUAAUCCUUUUCUGGUUUGGUGUCAUGAAGCUGCAUAAGUCUAAGGAAUUAAAAAUAAUAAAUAAAAGAAACUCUUGAGAGAGUCUGUCCGUGGUACUAAAACUUCCCAAGUGUGACUGCGCUCAUGCCGAUUCACUGCCUGUACUUCGACCGUACUGUUAACGUUUCACACAUCAACUGUGCUGCAUUUAAUGUGUUUAAGUUAUUAAUGCUACUCUUCACUUUUGAUACCAUCCAUCUUUUCUGUAUCUACCAGUCUCUUGGGGUAUUAGUCCUCACACAAUGACUCUUCUACUCCUAAAUUGUCCGUGUCUUCUUUCCUUCCUUCCUUCCUUCCUUCCUUCCUUCCUUCCUUCCUUCCUUCCUUCCUUCCUUCCUUCCUUCCUUCCUUCCUUCCAAUGCUACUAGUUUAACCCACAUUCCUUGGAUUAAUAACCAACAUUCUGCCAUUUAUUUUUAUUCAGUCCCUUUGUUUAUAGAAAACAUUAAUUCUCAUUGCAGUCCAGACUCCUUUUUGUAGGUUUCAAGUCAUGGCAAAGAUUACCAUACCUCCCUUUUGGCCUUGGGAUAGUCUUUUCAUCUCAUUUCUGCUCUGGUCUGCUCUGGUCCGUGUUCCUGGGUCCUGUGUAGAUUUCAGUGACACAGCCUUUGGAGUGCAAACUUAGUAGCAGUGCUCGGUUAGUACCCCCUGCCACGCAGAGUGCCGGCUUGGACGAGAGAGUCAAGUUCCAAUUGAGGUUGUAGCUCAGAAUCUCUCACCUGGGGAGGUUUGCCUUCUAGGGCACCUUGGCCAUAUCCAGAGACAUUCUGCUUGUCAUGACAGGUGAGUUGCUUCUAGGAUCUGGUGGGUAGAAAGCAGGUAUGCUGGAAACUAAACAGCGAGGCACCUCAAGACCUUUACUCUGCUGCUUUGCAAGUUUGUAAUAAUAGAAACAUAUCCUAGAAUUUCUUUCACCAAUAAUUGUAAUAUAUUUUUUAAAAAAUGACUUGACAAAGUCUCUGGAAUCCUUUUAUUAGAUAUGAAAUGUUCAGUCAAAUUGAUACAUUAUGGUUACUUAUCUAGGUCUCCUCUCAUUUUAAAGUUAACUUGAAUUUUUUUUUUUUUACAAAAAGUGAUGUCAAGUGGCAUCUUUUGUUAUGCAAAUUUUUGUUUUGAUCUACAGUAUUUCUUUUUAAGUCACUUCUCAGGAAUAAGCCAAAUGAUAGAUGUUUUAUUGCUAAUUAUAUGUAGUAUCAAGUUAUCUCUGUUAUUUGCCUGUUUCAGUGACCUGUAUCUUGAGAAACCACUAUGCUGAACUUGAAAGAGUCAUAGACACAGGUCCACAUGGCAUGUCUGCUUCUCAUUGGCUACAUGGCCUUUGCCCAUCUGAUUUUAUGUUUUUAACCUGUGGGAUACGCAUAACAAGCCCAUAUCAAAGAAUUGUGGGCAUUAAACCAGAUAGUUUCUUUGAUAGGUACUUAUGAACUGUCACAUUGCCAGUGUUCAAUAUGUAUCUAUUCAAAGCCUAGCCCAUGUUAGAACCAGUGCUGAGAGCUAGAACUACAGGGAGACUGCAUUCUACUGCCUUAUUAGAACAGUUCACUUAUAAGCAGAGGGACUUCCUUUUUAAUUACAAGGGUUUAAAAACAAAGGUUGUCCCUAGAACAGGAAACACACUAUGAAAAUGCUUAGUGAGAUCUUGUUAGAUUCCUUGGAUGACACUGUACAGUCAGUUUAUCUGGCACCCCAUUCACAAAUCACACCUCCUCCCUGGGAUGAUUCCCUUUAUUGUUUCUUUACAUUUCUCUCUCUCUCUCUCUCUCUCUCUCUCUCUCUCUCUCUCUCUCUCUCUCUCUCUCUCUUUCUCUCUCUCUCUCUCUCUCUGUGUCUCAUAUUAGGAUAUGACUUUGCUUAUUGCUGUUUUACUCAAUGUGAGUUUUUGUGACUUAUUCUUUUCACCCCUUUCUCUGAGACAAUUCAAACCUUUUUUACUUUUAAUUCCACCUUCUGUGGAUGUCAUUCCUUCAUCCUUCUCUGAGCCACAGGCCCUGGAAUCUGCAUGAGGCCAUGGCCCUGCUUGUGUCUUCCUUGUGUGACUCCUGUCCUGGCAGCCGUGCCUCCGAGUGACUGGGAGUGUUUGGGAACUCCGGCAUCCUUAGAUCUAUCUUUUGGAGAUGGAUAUUGAUUUUCUUGCCUUUGAAUGUAAAGGCCCAGAGUGAGCCCUUUCGCCCGUCAUCUCUGUGCGUGCUGGGCAUCAGAAGCUGAAGGUAGGGGAGUCACCACAGGGAAAUCCAUCAAACCAAUGCUGCUGGUGUGAGCAGGCCAUGCAGCAGCAGGCUUUCUGUGUAUGGACUGGACCACAGGUGGGGAUCGUUUGUGUGUACAGACUUGGUUUCUUUUUAAAGUCGCCACUUUGUAUUUUCCCCUGAAAAGACUUCACACUGAACGCAGGAUAUCCUUUCUGCGUGAUCCAAUUUCUGCCUUCAGCUACUUGACUGACCUAAUCAAAGCAAAGAUUUUUUUUGGUAUUUUGGAGAAAAAUUCCUUUCUUCCCAGGUGGAGUUCUGGAAUAAAGCCUACCACAUCCCAGCCACUUACCUGUAAUUGUUGUUAAAAUGUACUUGGCAAUGCCUAGCUCCUAUUUCUUUUAGCCCAUGAGUGAGAACCAAACUUUCUCUUUGGAAGGUUAUUCUUCUCCCUUCAUCUUCAAAGGAAAUAAUGUCUCCUUAGUUAGGGACCAUACAGUGUGACUAUUGCAGUACUUUAGUCACUAUAGAGACAGAGAAGCCAAUCCAUUGCACAUAGACAGCCAUAUAGAUAGGAAGAAGCUGUGAUUAUAUACAUGACCCUCCCACUGCCAGCCCCGCCCACCGUCAGCUCCUCCCACUGCCGACUCCUCUCAGCCCCUCCCACUGUCAGCCCCUCUCACCGACAGCCCCUCCCACCAUCUCUUAAAUUGAGCAUUGAACUUUCACUCUCCCUCUAUUCUGAGUCAGCAAAAACAAAAAGAAGCAAUUUUUUCCCUUAAUUUAGUUUGCAUUUUUGUAUAACAUUAAAACAUAGUCAUCCUGUGAGGUAUAGUGAAGGAACACCAGUUAGUAGACCCUUCAGUUACAGGAUGAGAUGAAUGGAUUAACAGCAACAAGAGGCAAAAUUCAACCACUGUUUGGAAGCCUUUUAAGCUCUUAUACAGUGUUCUUACUUCAUCACUACUUCAUCUUUAUCCAUGGCUGACCCCCCACUUCUUCAAAUCUAAGAAAUCUUUGAGCAUGUGAUUUCUUACUGAACAUCUCUUUAAUUUCUUUUUUUAUGAAUUUAAUUAUUGGUUUUGGCGAGUGUUACCACAAGUAUUACUCACUUGGCAAGCUUCCCCCUUAGGAAAAGCUGCAGAGCAUUGAGGAAGGGUUUGAGGGCAGGAGGAUAAAUCUGGUGGUGGACAGAAGGAAGCUUUGGUUCUAACUCUGUCUCCUCCUUGUGAGUUGUUGGUUCGAAAACAAAAACCAGGAGUAAACUUUAAAGAAUGAAGUCAGUGUGUGGUUGCAAUUAGGACCUGAAAGCUGUAGAACUCUAGAGCAAACAUAGAUAAGCAAUUCUGAAUGGCAGUAUUCAUUUCUCCUCUUCCCCAUUCUCCAGUCUCUAAGCCACAUCCCAGAAGUGCUCCUUUACUUACAAAGUUCAAGUCCAGCGCCCUGGGUUCUCCAAAGAAAUGUGAAAUACUCAAAUUUCAUGGACAAACCUAUUUUGUAGCCAAGAUGCAUGCACAAGACCAUACUUAACAGCCGUAUGUAUAUGGUUCACACUCCAUGCAGGACCUGAAGAGUUGUAUUUAAAGGCGUGCACAUUGCUUCCUGUAACCUGCUAAAGAGGGCUUAUCUGUCUUUUCUGUCUGUUAUUGGAAGUAUUCUCAUUCUCAACUUGUUCCCUGUGAGUAGAUUUUAUCCUCACUGUCCAGACCCCUUUACAUUUUCCCAUGGCAUAGCCGGGGGAAGAAGGAGGAAUGUUCUGAAGGUCAUUUCCUCUUGGUAUUUAGUGAGAAUAAAACUUCAUUUCCUUUCUGUUGUUCUUGGAUUGGACAAUCUGUGUAGCCUUUCAGCUUAGUCGCAUGCUGGAUUUCAGCAAACCUUUGGUUGAUUUCAUGUCCUCUCUAAUUUUCUUUAAGACCAAAUCUUACUUUCUUCUAAGUAAACCUCAAAGUUUAUUUUACCUUCCUGGAGAUUUUUUCUCAUAUUAUUAAAAUCCUACUCUAUGUUAAACAUGUGCUUCAAUCUUCUUCCAGUAGUAUUCUAUAUGUAAAUUGUCCUGUAUGUUAAUAGCAUGUGCCACAGAAAACCAUGAUGUAUUUAAAGGCAUAGACAACAGCAUCUUGGUCAGAUUGGAAUCCUUGUAUUAAAAACCUCUCUCUCCCUCCCUCCUCUUCCCCAUCUCUCUCGAUGGCUGCUCCCUCCAUCCGCCUCUGUCUCUGUCUCUCUCUAAAUAUUGUCUCAGUCAUCCACUGUGCCUGUUCAGUAGCAUAGAUCUUCAUGUUUUCCAUCCAUGGUAGUCACAGUUCUUGCUGUGGAAACCCUGCCUGUUGAGUUCGCUUGAUACUGCUUAUCUCCUAUUUGACGAUGAGUUUCUCUCCUGAAGAUUUUAUGUUCUUUACAUCCUAUGGGGUGCUGUUCUGAAUUCACCCUAUCAAGACUGUUUAUCUAAUUUGUACUAUCUUUCAAAUUUUUUAUUUGGUUUCCUUCAACACUGAUUGUUGCUGUCUAUCAUGUGAGACUUGCAUUAAUUGAAAUGGUACAUGAAGUUGCUCUUUGGGGACUACACAAUACCCAGGUUUUUUUUUAGUUCUCUAUUUCCAUAAAGAUUUUAGUAUGUAUUUGUUCUCAGCUAUAUGGGAGCACUCCAAAGGACUCUUCUUGUGUUUUUAAAUCUAGCUCUGCAUAUAUCAGGCAUAGAAUAAGUGCUUAUGAACCAACUCCAUCUUCCCAGGUAGAAAGCAUCAGAAGAUGGCUUACGCUAUUAGCAUGUGCAAUAUAGCUUAAGCAUGGUGGUAAAUUCCCAGAUAAUAAAAUUGUUUGAAGGUGAGAACGAAGCAUUGAAGAACAAGGACUGUAUUCCCCAGAGAUCAAUAAAGGGAAAAAUAAUUCUAGUCUAGCCUAGCGGACUAGAAGAUGUACUGAGAUUCUAUCUGGCUCUGAGAUUUUAUUAAAAUCCUCAACGAUAACACCACUUUCAUAAGGUGUUUCUAAUAGGAACUUUCUACUUUAUAUAUAUUUACUUCUGCUAAAGAUAGCGACCCCAAAGUGCUAUAAGGAAAAUCCAGAUUAUUUUUAUGAUGAAGUAUAGACUGAGUAAUUAAAACAGGAACUUCACAUACCUGAUAGAGUGUAGCUCUGUAGUUCUGUUUGAUAGACUGUGUUCUAUUUGCUCUCUGUCUUCAAAUAUCUGAGGAAAAAUAAACUCUAAAAAUAUCCCAUGUCCUGCCUUGCAAAUGACAGUAAUUCUCUCAGAGAUGAGGCUUUCGGUUCCUACUCCACCGCAAGAAUUAACUUUCUCAUUUUAUGGAUAUGAGAAAAGCCAAAAAGCGAAUGCAAGUGUCUCUUCCCACAACCCCUGCCUGCCUGCCUGGUGGACCUCAGGAUUUGUGCAUACUUGCAUAUUUCUGGGGGUACAGAUGGGAGAAAUGCUUAUGGAGAAUCCUUUUGGAGUUGAAUCACUUGCAUUUGAAUAUUUCCUUGAUCAUUGAUCUUCUGUGCAGGACCCCAUUUAUCACUUUAGACAGCCCUGCUCUUGGUUCUGUUUCUUAAUAUGUUACCAGGGGCUUGUCCUACUAUAUGCAAAUCAGUUAUUUUAGCAUAAACUCUGCUUUGCUCACAUGUUAUUGGUUAUUUUAUCACCAUCUACUCUGGACCACGUGCUAUGGAUUAUAAGAAAGACAGAAAAUCUCACCAGCCACAAAGCACUGACAGUCUGGGUGGAAAGGCAGGUCACAUACACACAAAAUAAUUAGUAAUGCAAUGUUCUAUUAAGCAGCGUCUUAGGUUGACCUUGGAAGGCACCACGACCUGCAUUAUGUGAAGUUGAGAUGGGACUCCAAUUGUCUGAUAAUGACAGAAAAAGAAAAGACUUCAAGAAGAAGCUCUGUGGGACUGACUCCUCUAGAAGGGACCUGAAGGUAGAUUAAGGCUAGUUUGAGUAAAGAGACAGAGUGGUUCAUAAGGACCAAGGUCAAAUGAAUAACCAAGGUUGUCACACGUUACUACUACAACACCCCUAUCUUGUCCCUAUAUGUCUGAAAGCUAUGUACGUCUUCUGGAAAACAUAGACUGUUCAUACAGGCUUUUGUAGGUGAUGAGUCAGAAAGCCAAAGGAAGCUGACCUCUUAGAAAUAUAUGUAUGUAUUUCUUCAUAUGAUGCUACUGAUGUAAUCCCUUGUUUCCCUGUAUCUGUGGAAGCUGUUUCUUUAAAGGUAGUUUUUUGGGGUUUUUUUUUUUUCUCAAAGCUUUUGCUGUAAAAAAAUCAUUGUUUGGUGACCAGAACUGAGACUUGAGGAGAAGAUAAUCUUUACAGAUAGGAAAAUAAAAAGAUAAAGAUAAUGUAUUUUCAGGGAGAAAAUCUACUUUCUGAGUAAUUAAAAUGAUAUUGUCUGAUAGGGAGCUGAGUGUAACAAUUUCCGAGUCUCAUGAUAAUCUGAUUUGUCUUAUUUUACUGAUGGAAAGGGGAAAUAAAGUGAACUCUUGGCUCAAGUGCUAAGUCUUCAAAGGUGAAAACUCCUGAAUGGGCGGCAGUGAGUCAGUCUGGAGGAGCCACUGACAUCCGGCUUCUGGAGAGGGUGCUCAGGGAUGCUUAUGGACGGUGGAAUUUCAAUUUACUUUUUUGAACACUGAAAUCUUGACUUUGAAAAGCAAGGUAUUUGUCAACAUUAUCUGAAGGGCCAGACGACAGGCAAAUGCUUCAGCACACGUGUUUUCUUGCAUUAAAGCAAAGCUGACAUGUUGAAAAGAUGGUCUUCAAAGAUAUUCAGAGGCUGGUAAGCUUUUGUCAAUAAUUAGCCCUCACUUUGCUUUAAAGACAGGGCAGUCGUUUUUUUUGUUGUUUUUUUUUUUCUCACAUUUGCCAGGAGUGGAUUUUCACUUUCAAAUUUCCUCAUUCUGGGUACUUGCAUGUGAGUAUUCCAAACCUCCUCGUCCUCAGCCACCAUGUGUAGCAUUCAUUGCAUUUAUGCAUUCAACUUCUUCCUCAAGUGACGCUAUUUUUUUCUGCCUCAGCCUGACAGCCACUAAUAAUAACACAUGAGGACAGUCAGACAAAAUGAAGACAAAUGCUGCUUGUCGCAGCAGAAUCAUAAUGUCCUCGGACUCAGUAAAGACAGUCUAACUGUAUGUGGAUGCUCUUUAUAGCUUAUUUAGACCUGCGGUUUUUCCCUGUGGCUUUUUUUAAAGCACAAACAUUGUGUAGAAAUACAUUAAGGCAACAUAUGGGCCUGUUAGUUAGCCAAAACAAUGUGGAACCAUGGAGAAUAGAGAUUGGAAGCACAGAUGGAUACUGUAAAAAAUUCAUGAGUGGCAUAACAGAUCUAAAAGGUAAAUUUUAGUCAAAAUUCAAGAGGAAAGCGUAGUAAAUACUUAAGAAUUUGGCUUUAUGGGUUUUUUUUCAAAUCACACAAGAUGAAACAUUGUGAACAUUCCUCAGAUUUGUUUAUGCCAUAAUGCGAAAAUCAGAGCU